UUGUGCAAAAUUAAAAUUAGGCACCUUUUGAAAACAAAACCGAAAUCCAAGUGUUAAGUAGUUUUGAUUGAUUGAAAGACACAGCAUGUGCCACUGAGACCACACCACCCACUCCUUCAAUGUUAUCCCACUUUGCAC